AUUGAAUGCUGGCGGCAGGCCUAACACAUGCAAGUCGAACGGUAACAGGAAGCAGCUUGCUGCUUUGCUGACGAGUGGCGGACGGGUGAGUAAUGUCUGGGAAACUGCCCGAUGGAGGGGGAUAACUACUGGAAACGGUAGCUAAUACCGCAUAACGUCGCAAGACCAAAGAGGGGGACCUUAGGGCCUCUUGCCAUCGGAUGUGCCCAGAUGGGAUUAGCUAGUAGGUGGGGUAACGGCUCACCUAGGCGACGAUCCCUAGCUGGUCUGAGAGGAUGACCAGCCACACUGGAACUGAGACACGGUCCAGACUCCUACGGGAGGCAGCAGUGGGGAAUAUUGCACAAUGGGCGCAAGCCUGAUGCAGCCAUGCCGCGUGUAUGAAGAAGGCCUUCGGGUUGUAAAGUACUUUCAGCGGGGAGGAAGGGAGUAAAGUUAAUACCUUUGCUCAUUGACGUUACCCGCAGAAGAAGCACCGGCUAACUCCGUG
rnacentral:rRNA from 1 species